rnacentral:sRNA from 1 species
UGAAGACGGAACCCUGUUAGCGCAAUAAU